AGUCUUUUGAAUAGAUGUAAACGUGAGGAGAUACCAACUGCCCUGAAAAAAUAAGGUAGAAUGGAAAGUAAUAAUCUAUUUGUGUCAUGUAUCAAUGACUUAAUCUUAUUUUGUGCAAACAUCAGGUCCUUUGGAUGCUGAAAAGAUAUAGGGAGUCAUAAAUCAUUAUUCUUACAGUCCUAUCAAAGAACCAGAGACAAAUAUGAGUCGUUAAAAGAAAUACAUUUCAGAUUGCUUCACAAAAUUCUCAGCUAGAACUUCGUAUAGUGCCUUUAAGAUACUACAAACAAAUAUUAAGUUUUUUCACAGUGAAAUUCCUAGAAUUCAGAAAGGAAUUAAAACGGUUAGCUCCAGAACCUGUACUUCUAUAACUCUAUUUCAUGUUUAUAUGAAUCACAUAAAAAGUAGUAAUUGGAAAUACAAGCAAUACAAGCAAAUAGGUCAAAAUAGAUGAAAAAUAAUUCAAGAAAGAGAAAAGUGGUUCAUGAGAUGUAUAAAAUUUUAUUAAGUCGUGGCAUAAUGUACUUAGAAUAUCUAAGAUUUCAGAAGAGUUUUGUUUUAAAUGCACCUCCUUAAAUUUGGUAUUCUUUUGAAAGAAAAUUUGCACAUCUUAUUUUCAGAAAUAGUCCCCUAUAAAUAUUAAGAAGUGAGAAUAUAUUCUUGAUUGAAUCUGUCAUUAGGAAUGAAUGCAGAGAGAAACUUUGACGGAUUUCUACUUAACUCACUGUUUAAUUGCUUCAUAAUCCUAUUUGUUUGUAUGUUUUCCUACAGAAUUGAAGAUAUGAAGACAUCAGUCACAACAUAUUGUGGUAGUGACACAAUUUAAAUUACUCUCCCAUACAUGGUUCUGUCCCUAGAGUUUUCAUGGCCAUGAGACGUUAUCUCCAAUGAAAAUAAGAGUUCAUGGAAAUAAGUAGGAGGCAUUACUUUUGAAGCAGCAUUCACAUUUGCAUCUAGAACACCCGUAAUGGCUUCUAUAAUGCCAUCCCUCAGGAGAUGAAGGUUUGAGUUUUGCACCCUGUAUGUCCAGGUUUGGAUGAAAUGUGACUACUCAUGGUUUACUUUUGGAAUCACCACUUAACUGGACAGAGAUGACGAGAUCCUGGUUUUAGAGGCUCUGCAACAUAUUUCACUAGAUUUACAUUUGCUUUAUGUGCCAAAAUCACUGAAAAUUAUAUAAUAUUAUAUUUGUUAAUCAGUGAACUAAAUGAGGAAUAUAUGAACCAAACUAUCUAGAAUAGCACAGAGAAAAAGUUACAGUUUACGUGAAAAUUUAAUUUCUUGAUGACAUUCAACGUGAUAAAUUUUUAGUGCAUUUCAGUCAUAUUUAUGUGAAACAUUUGGUACAACAGGGACCAUGCAGAUUUUAGAAAAUGCUUCAUCUCUGUGCUAGAAUAUUUAAUAGAAAACUGAAGCUACCAAUCUCAACCCAAAGCGGUAGUACCUCUUUGAGUAUUUCAGUAUUCUAAGCUGUGGCCAAAACUAAUAUGCAUUAUCAACAAGCCUGUCUAUUAUUCAAAAAUAAAUGAUUUAUGGUUAGGAAAUUGAACCAUCUACUGAAAUGGCUGCUUGAUUAGGUAUUGUUACUAAUCAGUGCAAUUCAUUGGGUUGUGCAAAUACAUCUGAAAUGGUCUUGCUACCAGUGAACAAGAGAAGAAAAAACUCUGAAGUAGACAUUUAUCAAACUAUACUGAUUAAAUGCUGGCUCUAGGAAAUAGCACCAUAUGAACUGGUGUUUAGUCAAUAAGAAUGAGAUGAAAUCCAUAUUACAGCUUUCCAAACAAUCAUCUGGAUGAUAAUGCAAAGUGUUGCCUGAAGAAAAACAAAAGAGUAGAAAUAUUAAAUGAUGUGGUAUUUGAUGAUGAUGGAUCUUCACUCUCUAAUAAGAACAGUUGCACAUGAGUAUCAGUUUCUUUGUUGGGUUUUGUUUGUUUAAUACAGAGUUAUAAUUAAAUGUAACACCACCAUCAUAAACAUAGAAAAUCUAUGAAAAAAUAGGAUAGAUGCCAAUAAUAUUUGUAAUAGAAGAGUCUCUUUGAACACAUCUAUGUUUAAAAAUAUAUCCUCUAAGAGAGCCUUUGGUUGACCUUCAUCUUGAUACAUAACCAAGCCUGGAAUGAUAACUUAAAAUCAUUUCAUACUUCUGGUUAUUUUUUUGCUGACUGUUUUUGUUGUUUGCUUGGUUUUUUUUUCCUGCAGUAAUGUGAUCCGUUUUUCUGAUGGUAGACUAAAUGGAUUAACCCUACCCAUCUCUGAAUUCUUGCUUUCCAUACAAGGCAAAAAGGCUGGAAAUGAAUCCUCAAGCAAAUUAUUAACUGGCUAAUAAUUUGGCCUUGAAAUAUUCUGUGCAUGUGCAAAGUCACUAACGCCUUAGAAAACAUCGCCUCUUGCACUUUUGAUAUAGAACAUCAAGAUUUAUUACUUCUGAGAUUCAGGAAGUCUGGAAACUCAUUAAAAUAAUUAUUUUAUACAUGAUCUUUCAGAGACAUUAUCAUCUUUUGAAGUUUCAUCUGGAAGUUACAGUAGUUAAUUCAGGACUGCAGUUUUGCAGUUUGUACUAUUAGUUUGAUUCUAACUUUUUCUAAGCAUAUGGAAAAGUUAUAAGAACACGAUUUUCAGAGAAUAUUGCCUUCAAACUGGCAUUUACAUGAUUUAUUUAGAAAUACUAGAAAUCUUCCCAUAACUUAUUUGCUUAUUGCCAUAAUCAUUAAUAAAUUCUAAUCUCUUAAAAUCAAAGUUAUUGAAUGAAUUACAUGGUACGUCUAAGAAAUCAAACUAGCACUGAGUUUUGCACUGUUGUUUAACUGAAAAAAUAAGUAACUAUUAUAUAGUACUAUAUGUCAUUUAAGUGGUGAUGAACUAAGAACUGAUUUGUCUGUUCAUUGUGAUAACAUUAAAAUUCAAAGCUUUCCAGCAAAGGGAUAGAAAGUUGUUACCAAAAUGUUAUAUUUCAGAGGCACAAAGAAGAGCUCCUAACUGGAAUAUGAGAAGAAAACUUUUCUAUACCUAGAACUGUGUGACCACUUAUAAUUUGCCUGUGAUAAUCUUUCAAAGUAGAAUUUGCUUACGGAAAGCCAGAGUCACAAAAAGAUAAUUUAUUCCAUAUUCUUUCUUAAAAAGAAAUGGUUUGAAGUCUAUAGGGCUUUGUAACAAAUCUCUUGAUAAACUUUUCAGUUAUUAUUCCAAAUGUAUCUGUGGCAGAAAUAAACAUUUGUGAGGCUUUGAAAGCUUUUGAAAGCUUUUUAGAAAGAAUUGUUCAAUACUUAGCUUUGUUCUGUUAUACUCAAAAUUAGGUAAUUGAUAAUAACUCCUCACAAUAUUGAGUACUGUGAAAAAGCAAAUGUACGAAGAAUAUUUCUUUUUUCUUUCUUCUCAAGCAUGAUGUUACUGGUGAUCCUACCAGAUCCUACUGGUGGUCACUAGCCCACACAAAGAAAUGAGGCAUGAAGUGGAACUGAAUAUUUUUAGAGCACAAAGAAACACACAGCAUUUAAAGUACUCAAGCAUCUUUGUGGUUUGUAUUCGCCUAGGUAGAUGAAGCUUAGUGGAGGGAAAUGGGCGAAAUACAAAUCUAUCUGUACUAUGUGAUUCAAAAUUCUUUGUGGAGUGUUCCAUUCUCCAGCUGGUAGAGUCAGAAAUAUAUACUGGGAGCAAGUCUAAGACAUUUUGAUGCAGACACAUUGCUAAGAAUGAAGAUAUUAUGAAGAUGAAGAUUAAAUGAAGAUUAAAAUAAUAAUAAUAAAAAACUUUGCAAAGGCAUACUCAUUCAUCUAUUUUUAAAAAACAAUUCCAGUAGUUUUGUGAUAUCUCAAACCAUUAUUUCUUAAAAAGAAGAAAUCUUUGUUCUUAUAUUCAAACCCAAUAUUCCCUUCAGGAAAAUAUGCAAAAGACACUUAGCUAUCAAAACUGAAACGUUUCAAGAAAUGACAAACAAAUUUGAGUGAGACAGAAGAAAAAAAUAUAAUUUAUUUUAUUGAGAUAUUGUUAAUUUGGAUGUUGUUUUAUUUGCCUUAAUGUCCUAUGACUAACUUUAUAUUUUCCUUCAUGUGUAUAUACCUGUGCAUAAACUUUUGCAGAAAAGAGACUUAUGUUUUUACACAUACAUAUAUGAAUUCUCUUCAACUGAACGCUUUUAUGUAUAGAUAAAAAUAUUAACUGAGACAAUGAAUAUUUGAAAAUUGUAAGAAAAAAGAAAAUAUUUCAGGAAUUUCAAGUGGCUACAUUUUCACAUUGCUGCCUUGUUUACUUCAAAUGCUGUUUCCAAUCCUGAAUUUUAUGUCAAUGGUUCUUGUGUUUUGAACGCCUUUUGUUAAUAUGUUGUGAAAACUGGAAUCUGUUUUUAUUCUGC